GUUUUGUUGUGAAAUUAAUCAUGGUUCUGAUAGAAUCCUAACUUUUUGUCUACGAGGUGAAGAAGGCAGAGAACUAAUUCUCCAUUAGUUUGAAGCUCUCUUUCCUCCAUUAUAUUGAAGAAAAUUCUGAGGUGGAACUGCAUCCAUUUAAGGUGAGUAAUUGGGAUUACAUCUGUGUGGAGAAGCUCAAGUAUUGUGACUGUCUGGGUAAUGAAAAAGGUGUUGCACAACAUUACAUGGUUUUAGUAGACACAAAGUGCUUGUGCGCAGUGAUAAGGAAUUGAUAAGCGGGUAUUACAAUCUAUGUUACCAGGACUCGAGUAUGGGUGUUGGACACGGACAGGCGUCAAGGUGUCCAAUUCGGCAAAGUCCAAAAUUUUGGGACUCGGGGACUCGGUCCAAAAUUUGGACAUGGGGUGUGUUCGCUCAAGAUUCUUGAAGUUCUUUUUGUGUGGUUUUUCUAGCAAG